GACGUAGGGCGCGAGCGUUGUCCGGAUUUAUUGGGCGUAAAGAGCUCGUAGGCGGCUUGUCGCGUCGUCUGUGAAAACCCGGGGCUCAACUCCGGGCUUGCGGGCGAUACGGGCAGGCUAGAGUUCGGUAGGGGAGACUGGAAUUCCCGGUGUAGUGGUGAAAUGCGUAGAUAUCGGGAGGAACACCAGUGGCGAAGGCGGCUUUCUGGCCUGUUCUUGACGCUGAGGCGCGAAAGCCAGGGGAGCAAACGGG
rnacentral:rRNA from 1 species